UGUUGACAGAAGAGAGAGAGCACAACCCGCCAUUGGCUGAAGAGAGUCUUUACUUUUGUUGGGAGUGUGCUCUCCCGUCUUCUGUCAUCA
rnacentral:pre_miRNA from 1 species